AGUGAACGCUGGCGGUAGGCCUAACACAUGCAAGUCGAACGGCAGCACAGUAAGAGCUUGCUCUUACGGGUGGCGAGUGGCGGACGGGUGAGGAAUACAUCGGAAUCUACUUUUUCGUGGGGGAUAACGUAGGGAAACUUACGCUAAUACAGCAUACGACCUACGGGUGAAAGCAGGGGAUCUUCGGACCUUGCGCGAUUGAAUGAGCCGAUGUCGGAUUAGCUAGUUGGCGGGGUAAAGGCCCACCAAGGCGACGAUCCGUAGCUGGUCUGAGAGGAUGAUCAGCCACACUGGAACUGAGACACGGUCCAGACUCCUACGGGAGGCAGCAGUGGGGAAUAUUGGACAAGGGGCGCAAGCCUGAUCCAGCCAUACCGCGUGGGUGAAGAAGGCCUUCGGGUUGUAAAGCCCUUUUGUUGGGAAAGAAAAGCAGCAGGUUAAUACCCCGCUGUUCUGACGGUACCCAAAGAAUAAGCACCGGCUAACUUCGU
rnacentral:rRNA from 1 species